rnacentral:rRNA from 1 species
GACGUAGGGCGCGAGCGUUGUCCGGAUUUAUUGGGUUUAAAGGGUGCGUAGGCGGCUUAUUAAGUCAGGGGUGAAAGACGGUGGCUCAACCAUCGCAGUGCCUUUGAUACUGAUGAGCUUGAAUACACUUGAGGUAGGCGGAAUGUGACAAGUAGCGGUGAAAUGCAUAGAUAUGUCACAGAACACCAAUUGCGAAGGCAGCUUACUAAGGUGCAAUUGACGCUGAGGCACGAAAGCGUGGGGAUCAAACAGG